rnacentral:rRNA from 1 species
CACGUAGGGGACGAGCGUUGUCCGGAUUCAUUGGGCGUAAAGCGCGCGUAGGCGGCUCGGAAAGUCGGUCGUGAAAUGCCGGGGCUCAACCCCGGGACUGCGUCCGAUACUCUCGAGCUGGAGGCAGGUAGGGGAGAUCGGAAUUCCUGGUGUAGCGGUGAAAUGCGUAGAUAUCGAGAGGAACACCUGCGGCGAAGGCGGGUAGCUGGGCCGACACUGACGCUGAGGCGCGAAAGCCAGGGGAGCGAACGGG